GAGAAAGUAGGGAUUAAAGUUUCUCUCUUGUCCAAUAGAUGGAUUCUCUUAUGGCAUGUAGGAGUGCCACUUGUGAUGUCUUAUGAAGAUGAAUCGCAAAAAUAAAAACUUAAUUUUUGCAAAACUCUAGAUCCAAAACCUUAGGAACUGUCAUAUAUGUUGCAUAGUAAAGUUGUUUAGAUUUGAAAAUUAUUUUUAUGUCUAAACUAGA
rnacentral:lncRNA from 1 species